rnacentral:rRNA from 1 species
UACGUAGGGUGCGAGCGUUAAUCGGAAUUACUGGGCGUAAAGCGUGCGUAGGCGGUUCGUUAAGUCAGCUGUGAAAACCCCGGGCUCAACCUGGGAACUGCGGUUGAAACUGGCGAACUAGAAUCUGGCAGAGGGGGAUGGAAUUCCACGUGUAGCAGUGAAAUGCGUAGAGAUGUGGAGGAACACCGAUGGCGAAGGCAGCCCCCUGGGCUGAGAUUGACGCUCAGGCACGAAAGCGUGGGGAGCAAACAGG